rnacentral:tRNA from 2 species
CGGGGCGUAGCUCAGCCUGGCAGAGCGCCGCGUUUGGGACGCGGAGGUCGCCGGUUCAAGUCCGGCCGCCCCGA